rnacentral:lncRNA from 1 species
GGUGUGCAAGUACAUUGGUGGGUGCAGGAAGCAAAAAUGGCCCUGCUGAAACGUGGUUCAUUUUUAAAACCACAAACACGGUUUCUUGAAUUGGCUUUGCAUUUCCAAACCUUGUUGUGCCUUCUUCAGUGAUCAGUGGAAAAAGCAUCCAUAUUGUGCCAAAAAUGAAGCAAGAGCCUGGCUUGGAAGAUGAAGAUCGUCC